UGGGAAUUUGGACAAUGGGCGAAGCCUGAUCCAGCAAUGCCGCGUGUGUGAAGAAGGCCUUCGGGUUGUAAAGCACUUUUGUCCGGAAAGAAAUCCUUGGCUCUAAUACAGUCGGGGGAUGACGGUACCGGAAGAAUAAGCACCGGCUAACUACGUGCCAGCAGCCGCGGUAAUACGUAGGGUGCAAGCGUUAAUCGGAAUUACUGGGCGUAAAGCGUGCGCAGGCGGUUUGCUAAGACCGAUGUGAAAUCCCCGGGCUCAACCUGGGAACUGCAUUGGUGACUGGCAGGCUAGAGUAUGGCAGAGGGGGGUAGAAUUCCACGUGUAGCAGUGAAAUGCGUAGAGAUGUGGAGGAAUACCGAUGGCGAAGGCAGCCCCCUGGGCCAAUACUGACGCUCAUGCACGAAAGCGUGGGGAGCAAACAGGAUUAGAUACCCUGGUAGUCCACGCCCUAAACGAUGUCAACUAGUUGUUGGGGAUUCAUUUCCUAGUAACGUAGCUAACGCGUGAAGUUGACCGCU
rnacentral:rRNA from 1 species